rnacentral:rRNA from 1 species
AGGAUUCCCCUAGUAACUGCGAGUGAAGCGGGAAGAGCUCAAAUUUUGAAUCUGGCGGUCUUUGGCUGUCCGAGUUGUAAUCUAGAGAAGCGUUUUCCGUGCUGGACCGUGUACAAGUCUCCUGGAAGGGAGCGUCAUAGAGGGUGAGAAUCCCGUCUUUGACACGGACUGCCAGUGCUAUGUGAUGCGCUCUCGACGAGUCGAGUUGUUUGGGAAUGCAGCUCAAAACGGGUGGUAAAUUCCAUCUAAAGCUAAAUACAGGCGAGAGACCGAUAGCGAACAAGUACCGUGAGGGAAAGAUGAAAAGAACUUUGGAAAGAGAGUUAAACAGUACGUGAAAUUGCUGAAAGGGAAACGCUUGAUGUCAGUCGCGUCGGCCGGGGAUCAACCUUGCGUUCUCGCUCGGUGUACUUCCUGGUCGACGGGUCAGCAUCAGUUUCGGUCACCGUACAAUGGCGAGGGGAACGUGGCACUCUUCGGAGUGUGUUAUAGCCUUUCGUCGU